GAGGUAGCCUUAUGUUUUCUUGUAACUGU
rnacentral:piRNA from 1 species